rnacentral:rRNA from 1 species
UACGUGGGGUGCAAGCGUUGUUCGGAAUUACUGGGCGUAAAGCGUGUGAAGGCGGCUCGCUAAGUCUGAUGUGAAAUCCCCGGGCUUAACCUGGGAACUGCAUUUGUGACUGCAUGGCUGGAGUGCGGCAGAGGGGGAUGGAAUUCCGCGUGUAGCAGUGAAAUGCGUAGAUAUGCGGAGGAACACCGAUGGCGAAGGCAGUCCCCUGGGCCUGCACUGACGCUCAUGCACGAAAGCGUGGGGAGCAAACAGG